CGGAAGAGCAGAAGGAGACUGGGAAAGGCACUGUCGGUGACAUCACCGAUAGGGCGUUUCUAUGUAGAUGAGGCAGCGCAGGGGCUGCUGCUUCGCCACGAAGGAUUUCCCGUGCCGUGGGAGCGGGUUCAGGACCGCUGGUCGGACCUGAGAGUCCCAGCUGUGUGUGGGAAGCUCAGCUGUGUAAUUUGUAGUAACGAAGCAGAAGUUACAACGAAAAGACAAGUUUUCCUGUGCUUGGCAGGGCCCCCCUCCCCCCCACCAAGGCCUGCAGUGGAUAGAGCCUAGCAGAUCCUGGACAAUACUAUCCUAAAAGCUACAUCUCUGACAGUGAUUUCCAGCGACUUUGUCAACACGGUCCGCCCCCAGCAAGUAUAAGAGGAAAAACAACAAAUGUCUUUACUGCCUUGUCUUUCCCCCUUGCCACUUGUCAUUAUUCAAGUUUUGUAAGUUCCUGAUUUCCAUUCAGUGCAGCUGCAAGGUUACCAGCUGUGCUUGCGUUGCAAGACCUGUCACAGUUUGAUUAACUGCCUUCUUUCUGCUUCUGUAAGCCCUCUUGCCUGCCCCGCGAGUUUCACACCAUCAAAUUCCUGCUGCACCAUUCAAACUAGCCAACCCCCUUUCAGAAGUGUGUAUAAAAGUCAAGCCCCCUGUCUUUCUUCGGGGCUCAUGCUAGGCCCGAGUGCAUUCAAUAAAAUCCUUCUGUUCCACCCGUUGGUCUCUUUGUU
rnacentral:lncRNA from 1 species